CUCUCCACUAGCAGCUGUUCUCGGUGCUGCGUCAAUUUUUGCUUCUCUCUGACUGCUUGGCUCCGUACCUGGCUCCGAAACCAAUCUCCCGUCUCCCGCGCCUCCCCACAUUCAUUGCUCCUGCCCCGUCUAGGGCUCAGUUCUUACCUGUGCACUGCCUGACAGUCUUCUCACCACCCUCCGCCAAGCGGUCUAUUUAUAUAAACCCAUAUCGGAAUGGAUCAGUCCCAUGAUUAAAAUGUUAAAAGCUUCCCCUUUAUCCCUUCACAAUAAAGUCCUAGCUCGUUACUGAACCAUCCCUGCCUGUCCAAUCACGUCCUUAUCCUUCCACAUCACAGCCAGAGAGAUUAUUCUUCCAGUUGUAUAUCAGAUUGUUCAUUUCUUUCCAGUCCCAGCACCAAAGUCCAAGCCACCAUCAUCUCUCACCUUGGCUUCUGCAAUAGACUCUCAGCUGUUCCUGAGUUCAUCAUUGCCCACAUCCAAUUCACUGUUGGCACAGUUGACAGAGUUAUCUUUUUAAAAUUUAAAUCGGAUCAUGUCAUUCUCCUGUUAAAACCUUCAGUGUCUCCUCAAGGCUGUCCUUAAGACAAUCCUUAAAUGGUUUACAAAUCUGACUCCCUUUCAAUCUCAUUAGCAGCAUUGUCACCUCCUUCACAAAUUCUAAACUAGACUCUCUAAAAUGCUUUUCGUUAUCUGGAAUACUAUUGCCUCUGCCUGGGGCCUUUGUCCAUAUUGUUUCUCUCACAGAAACCCACUUCCCUCCACUCCCAACCUUUCUGCUUCUCAUCAGGCUAAUCAUUAUUCUCAGGAAUCCUUCUGGAUGCAACUUCAUUUCCCCUGGGGAGACUCUCCUGACCCUCCAGUCUGGGUUAGUCGCAUCCUGUGUGCUCUCAGACCCUGAGCUUUUCUCUGUCACAGCCUGAUCAAGCUGAAUCAUCUGUCCCUCUGUGCAAGGCUGGCACACUGCCCAAGGUAG
rnacentral:lncRNA from 10 species